rnacentral:lncRNA from 1 species
ACUUUACUAGGAACUUAGAGGGCUGUGAAGGUCACAUGCUGUGCCACUCAGGCUCUGACAGUUGUAUGUGUCUGUGUAUGUGUAUACAUGCAUACUGCAGAGGCCAGAAGAAGGCAGAUAUGAGUCUACUGAUAUCGGUACUGGAAACUGAAUUCUGGACCCCUGCAAGAGCAGCCAACCAUUUCAACCACUGAGCCAACCUUUCAAGUCCCAGCCUUCAUUUUAUAAAUUUCUGUCAUAUUUUCCAUUAUAAGCGUUUAUCCAUUUACAGUUGCCCACUUCCCAUCAGUAUGGCAAAUACUCGUGACAAUUAACGUAUAAAGAUUUUGCAGUCAUCCUCUUCUCUUAUUCUUUUUCAAUUUUUCUGCUCCCUGUUUCACAGUGAGCCCUGAAUCUUGGAAGAAGGGGGUAUGACAUAGAUGUCCCAUUUAGAGCUUGGAAGCCUUCAGUUCCUUAUCAUUUACAUUCUGAUCAGCUCUUGGUCUCUGUGUUAACCUCUAUCUAGGGCAAAAGGAAGCUUCUCUAAUAAGGGUUGAGAGAUGAACUUUACUCUCAUUGGUGUGUUAAACUACAGAUAUAACGAGAACGAGAACACAAAGGUGGGUGGGUAAAGAGGGAGUGGGGCUGGGAGAAGUGGGACUAGGGGUAGAUAUGAUCAAAAUACACUGUAUGAAACUCUGAAAGAACUAACAAAAUGAAAGUAAAGUUUUGUGGGUUUGUUGUU